rnacentral:rRNA from 1 species
AAUAGAUACCCCGGUAGUCCACGCCGUAAACGAUGAGUGCUAAGUGUUAGAGGGUUUCCGCCCUUUAGUGCUGCAGCUAACGCAUUAAGCACUCCGCCUGGGGAGUACGGCCGCAAGGCUGAAACUCAAAGGAAUUGACGGGGGCCCGCACAAGCGGUGGAGCAUGUGGUUUAAUUCGAAGCAACGCGAAGAACCUUACCAGGUCUUGACAUCCUCUGCCAACCCUAGAGAUAGGGCGUUCCCCCUUCGGGGGACAGAGUGACAGGUGGUGCAUGGUUGUCGUCAGCUCGUGUCGUGAGAUGUUGGGUUAAGUCCCGCAACGAGCGCAACCCUUGAUCUUAGUUGCCAGCAUUUAGUUGGGCACUCUAAGGUGACUGCCGGUGACAAACCGGAGGAAGGUGGGGAUGACGUCAAAUCAUCAUGCCCCUUAUGACCUGGGCUACACACGUGCUACAAUGGAUGGUACAAAGAGCUGCGAACCCGCGAGGGUAAGCUAAUCUCAUAAAGCCAUUCUCAGUUCGGA